rnacentral:lncRNA from 1 species
AAAGUAACACAUUUACUUGAUUUUUUUUUUAUCGAUGUGUCUUAUAUACAGCUUAAUGUGCUUGCCCCUUCCUGCCAGGAAGUCUGUUAGUCCAGAGUUUGGCGUUCAUUCAUUCACUGUGCAAGUGGGCGUCCUACAGGAUUGCCCCCGCCGUCCUCUUAGGAUCAGAACGCCAGAGUAUCCAGCCAGCCUUUGAAGAAUGGUACUUUAUGAAACUGUCUAGAUGUGCUUAUUGAAGGAAGAAUUUGAGAGGAGUAGAAGAGCUUAGUAAAAAAGAUUUGUGUGCAGCACACAAGUCCUCAAAGAAGGCUGCUGAUGAAGCUUUUUAUCUUUCUCUUCCAAGAUUCUACACAGUACAGGGCUGGAGUUUCAACAUCAAGUCGAGGAAGCCAAGGAUUUAGAUCAAUUGAUUAAAAUUCACUAUAGGUAUCUGUCAACCAUCCAUGACCGGUGUCUGCUGAGAGAAAAGGUCAGCUUUGUGAAAGAAGCUAUCAUGAAGGUGUUGAACUUGGCUCUCAUGUUUGCAGACGGU